UACGAAGGGGGCUAGCGUUGUUCGGAAUUACUGGGCGUAAAGGGCGCGUAGGCGGUCAGGUCAGUCCCGUGUGAAAUCCCUCGGCUCAACUGAGGAACUGCACGGGAAACUGCCUGGCUUGAGUUCGGGAGAGGGAAGCGGAAUUCCGGGUGUAGCGGUGAAAUGCGUAGAUAUCCGGAGGAACACCGGUGGCGAAGGCGGCUUCCUGGACCGACACUGACGCUGAGGCGCGAAAGCUAGGGGAGCAAACGGG
rnacentral:rRNA from 1 species